rfam:Oryza sativa Japonica Group DNA, chromosome 4, cultivar: Nipponbare, complete sequence.
UAUAAAUGCAGCCAUAAUUUUCCGUGCCCAAUUUUAACCAUCCGUCUUAUUUAAAAAAAUUUGAGAACAUAAGUCACGCAUAAAUUAUUAUUUAUGUUUUAUCAUCUUAUAACAAUAAAAAUACUAAUCAUAAGAAAAAUUCAAAUAAGACGGAUAAUCAAAGUUGUACACAGAAACUCAUGGUUGCACUUAAA